rnacentral:lncRNA from 1 species
AAUUGUUUGUAUAUUCUGCAAAUUAAUCUCUUGUCAGUAACAUCAUUUGCAAAUAUUUUCUCUCAGUCUGUAGGCUUUUUAUUUAUGAUUUCCUUUGUUAUGCAACAUCUUUUGUUUACUCAAGUCCCAUUUAUUUUUGUUUUUAUUUCCAUACUGUAGCAGACAGAUCCAAAAAAAUACUGUUGAAAACAUGUAACAUGAUCUGUGUGGCCAGAGUAUUAGCAAUGAACACCCACACGGCCUAAGAUGUGGUUGCUAAAUACCAUUUCCAAACAAAAAUAACCAGGGCUCCUGGGAGAAAUGCCUUGAUUCCAGGUUUGGGACUAGAAAUAUGAGCCUGGAAAUCUUAUGCCAGAAAGCAAAACAGCUGGUAAGAUUAUUAAAAGAACUCAGGGAAUUCCUGCUGUGGCACAACGGGAUCUACUGCGUCUCUGGAGUGUUGGGAAGCAGUUUUGAUCUCUGGUCUGGCACUGUGGGUUAAGGAUCUGGUGUUGCCACAGCUGCAGCAUAGGUCGUAACUGUGGCCUGGAUUUGAUCCCUAGCCCAGGAAUUCCACAUGUCUUGGGAUGGCCAAAAGAGGAAAAAAAAAAAAAAAAAAGGAAAAACCAAAAAACCUCAGGAACUAACUUGAGUUGACUCCCACUGACUAAAGAUAAAACAAGGCAACAACAAAAACUGAAUCAUAAGCUGAUAAAAAGCCUCCAGAAUAACGACUCUGAAAUUUUAGCAUGCCCCAGACUCACCUGGAAGCAUUAAAAAUGAAACCUCUAUAGCUGGGCUCCACCUACAGAGUUUCUGAUUCAGAGAGUCUGGGGUGGGUAUUAUUGAGAAAUUUUUCUUUUUCCAUCUUUGUAGGGCUGCACCAGUGGCAUAUGGAAGUUCUCAGGCUAGGGGCUGAAUCAGAGCUGUAGGUGCUGGCCUACACCACAGCUCAUGGCAAUGCUGGAUUCUUAACACACUGAGUGUGGACAGGGAUGGAACCCACAUCCUCAUGGAUACAAGUCAGGUUCGUAACCUGCUGAGCUACAAUGAGAAUUCCGAUAAACUUCAUUUCUAACAAGUUCCCAGAUGAUGCCGAUAAUUCUGAUCCAGGAGCCACACCUCGAGAACCACUACUCUAGGUUUAUUAAUUCACAGGGAACACAGGGGGCAGAAUAUGCUAAAUGAUGUCAUGAGGGUGCUAUCAGCAAAAUCAAAACUAGGAAACUGAAUAGUGACCUUCAACAAAUACACUGCAAGGAUAAGACAAACAAAAAAACACAACACCUGGAAGAUCCUAUAGAGGAACAGGACUUAAGGAGUCUUUUUAGAGGUAUAUACUGAACUAUCUUUAAUAGAAAUGUCUAGGAUUUCCUCCAAAAUUAUUUAGAAUAAGUGUAGGCAUAUAUUGUUAAAGUUGUCUGAGUACAGAGGACACUCAUCACACUAUUUUCAAGACCAGCGUUUUGUACUUUUCCUGAAAAUGCAAACAUAUUUAAAUAUAUUUCAUAUAUACAUAUAUAUAAAAAUAUAGAAUAUAUUUAAAAGUUCCUGUUGUGGCUCAGCAGGUUUGGGGACCCGAGGUGGUCUCUGCGAGAAUGCAGAUUCAGAUCCCUGGCCUUGCUCAGUAGGUUAAGGAUCUGGCGUUGCUGUGAGCUGUGGUGUAGGUUGCAGAUGUGGCUUAGAUGUGAUGUUGCUUGUGGCUGUGGUGCAGGCCGGCAGCUGCAGCUCCGAUUCAUCCCCUAGCCUGGAAACUUCCAUAUGCCGCCCAUGUGGCCCUAAGAAGGGGGGAAAAAAGAAAAAUAGUACACUCAAGGCUAUUCAGGAAUGACUGGCAAGGAGUAGUGACACUCUAACAUUUGGGCCCUUCAUUUAGCAACUCAACUUUGCUUUUCUCUCAACUGGCUAGAACAUUAGGGUUUUUUAACUAUUCCAAUUACAGAAAGUUUUAUAAAAAAGGCAGCUAUUAUUUCGUAAGUGACUGUGCCAAGUGCUUUGAUAAUUAUAGACGUUUACUCCCCAUAAUAUCAGAAGAUACUUUUUUUUGUCUUUUCUAGGGCUGCACCCGCAGCAUAUGGAAGUUCCCAGGCUAGGGGUCCAAUUGGAGCUGUAGCCGCCGGCCUACGCCACAGCACAGCAACACCAGAUCCAAGCCACGUCGGUCACUUACACCACAGCUCACGGCAAUGCUGGAUCCUUAACCCGCUGAGUGAGGCCAGGUGUUGAACCCACAACCUCAUGGAAAAAUAAACCAGUCUACCCUCUACAGAAAACACUUCCUUACAGUAGAAUGCCCAUGAAAAGAACUUAGGAAAAAAAAAAACAGUUAAUAGUGGGUGACAGUUUGAUAGGAACUAGAUACUUAAUAGGCUCUACUUAUCCUUCACAAAUUGACUGUGAAGGGAAAAAGCGACUUUGUAAGUCAUUCAAAUUAUUAUUACCAUGUGCCACUAGAUAAGAUGCAUCAAGGACAGAGUCACAUUCUUGAUAUUUCUGCCAAAAAUGCAAUCCUAAGGAGACAUCAGACAAACCCAAACUGAAAUGUUAAAAAAACAAGUCCUUUACUCUUCAAAAAUGACAAGGUCAAGAAAGGCUGAGGACCUGUUUCAGUUUAUUUCUGGUUGUGUCUGGGGCAUGUCGAAGUUCCUGGGCUGGGGACCGAACCUGAGACACUAGCAGCAACACAAGCCAUCAUGGUGAUGUCAGAUCCUUCAUCAGCUGUGCCAUAACAGAACUCUGUACCUGUUCCAAUUUAUUUAUAUUUUUAUUUAUUUUUUGCUUUUUAGGGCUCCACCCGAGGCAUAUAGAGGUUCCCAGGCUAGGGGAUGAAUUGGAGCUACACCUGCCCGCCUAUGCCACAGCCAUAGCAAUGCAGGGUUCGAGCCAGAUCUGCGACCUACAUCACAGCUCACAGCAACACCAGAUCCUUAACCUACUGAGUGAGGGCAGGGGUUGAACCCACAGCCUCAUGGUUUCUAGUCAGAUUCGUUUCCACUGUGCCACGACAGGAACUCCUGGGCCUGUUCCAGUUUAAAGGAGACUAAAAAUCCUUGACAAUAAAAUGUUGCAAAGGAUUGUGGCCAAUGGAAAAAAAAAUGAAAGACAUUAUUGGACAAGUGACAAAUAUAAAUAUGGACUGUGAAUGAGACAAGAUAACAUCAAAGCUAAUUUCCUGGUUUUGAUAUGUAGACAUUAUAGUUAUGAGAAUGUCUCUGGAGAUACACUUUUUAGAGAUAAAACAGAAAGAUGUCACUAACCUACCUUUUAGACAGUUCAGGAAAAUAUAGUGUAAAUGCAACAAAAUAUUGGUGAUUAACAAAAGGUUUACACUUCCGUCUAUAUUGCAAGUUUUUCCUAAGUCUGACACUUUACUGUUAAGUUCCUUGGUAAUGACCUCAAAGAUGAGUGCAAACAUCACGUUAAUAGUAAAUAGUCCAACUACAAAUAAGAGCUUUAGUGUAAGGUAUACUUAGUAUCACUUGACUUUGUAAAAUUCAGAUGAACCAUGACCAAACUACUCGGAAGUACGUUUUCUAGGUUUGCAUCUCUAGGAUGCCUAAUAAACUAGCAAUCCUGGCUUCCUCCAAGUGGUCAGGAAUUGAAUUCACUGCUUAUUGCCCUUUUGAAUCUACCUUGGAUUUUUGAACUUUGAUUUCUAUUCAAAGUGUAAAAAGUUAACCACUUUAGGAAGUCCCUGCUGUGGCACAGCGGUAACGAAUCUGACUAGAAUCAUGAGUAUGCGUCUUUGAUCCCUGGCCUCGCUCAGUGUAUUAAGGAUCCAGCAUUGCCAUGAGCUUGUGACACAGGCUGCAGAUGUGGCCUGGAUUCCACAUGGCUGUGGCAUAGGCUGGGAACUACAGCUCUGAUGCAACCCUUUCUCAUACAUACAAUCCGUCCCAGUCCAUCAUUUAAAGUAGGAUCUUUGUGCUAGUCUAUUUUAAAUAAAAGCAAGUUGCAGGACACAAUUCCUGAUAUUUACUAGCUUAUUGAAAGGCACAUGCGUUAAUGACUGAAAAUCUGGGCAGACACAGUAUUAUCAGCAGCUACUUCAGCAAUCGGACUCCACAGUUGUGUGUGUCUCCACAGUUGGAUUUUUUAAAAAAAUGGCUAUACCUGUGGUGUAUCGAAGUCCCCAGGCUAGUGGCUGAAUUGGAGCUGCAGCUGCUGGCCUAUGCCACAACCAUAUCAACACUGGAUCUCAGCUGCAUCUGCAACAUACAGCAUACAGCAUACAGCAAUGCUGGAUUCUUAACCCACUUGAACGAGGCCAGAGAUUGGACUAGCAACCUCAUGGACACUGUCAGGUUAAGCCACCGAGCCACAGUGGGAACGCCUGGAGAGGUCCUUUAGAACCAAGUACAUAUU